AGGACGAACGCUGGCGGCGUGCUUAACACAUGCAAGUCGAGCGGAAAGGCCCUUCGGGGUACUCGAGCGGCGAACGGGUGAGUAACACGUGAGUAACCUGCCCCUAGCUUCGGGAUAGCUCCGGGAAACCGGAAUUAAUACCGGAUACGACGACGGCCGACAUCGGCCGUGGUGGAAAGAUUUAUCGGCUAGGGAUGGGCUCGCGGCCUAUCAGCUUGUUGGUGGGGUAACUGCCUACCAAGGCGACGACGGGUAGCCGGCCUGAGAGGGCGACCGGCCACACUGGGACUGAGACACGGCCCAGACUCCUACGGGAGGCAGCAGUGGGGAAUAUUGCGCAAUGGGCGAAAGCCUGACGCAGCGACGCCGCGUGGGGGAUGAAGGCCUUCGGGUUGUAAACCUCUUUCACCAUCGGCGAAGCCCAAGGCUUUGUUUGGGUGACGGUAGGUGGAGAAGAAGCACCGGCCAACUACGUGCCAGCAGCCGC
rnacentral:rRNA from 1 species